AUUGAACGCUGGCGGCAGGCUUAACACAUGCAAGUCGAGCGGGGUGAUGGUGCUUGCACUAUCACUUAGCGGCGGACGGGUGAGUAAUGCUUAGGAAUCUGCCUAUUAGUGGGGGACAACAUCUCGAAAGGGAUGCUAAUACCGCAUACGUCCUACGGGGGAAAGCAGGGGAUCACUUGUGACCUUGCGCUAAUAGAUGAGACUAAGUCGGAUUAGCUAGUUGGUGGGGUAAAGGCCUACCAAGGCGACGAUCUGUAGCGGGUCUGAGAGGAUGAUCCGCCACACUGGGACUGAGACACGGCCCGGACUCCUACGGGAGGCAGCAGUGGGGAAUAUUGGACAAUGGGGGGAACCCUGAUCCAGCCAUGCCACGUGUGUGAAGAAGGCCUUAUGGUUGUAAAGCACUUUAAGCGAGGAGGAGGCUCUUUUGGUUAAUACCCAGGAUGAGUGGACGUUACUCGCAGAAUAAGCACCGGCUAACUCUGUGCCAGCAGCCGCAGUAA
rnacentral:rRNA from 1 species